GAUGAACGCUGGCGGCGUGCCUAACACAUGCAAGUCGAACGGAGUCCGGCCUUUAAGACCUUCGGGUAAAAGAGGGGAAGACUGAGUGGCGGACGGGUGAGUAACACGUGGGCAACCUGGCUCAUGAAGGGGGCUAAAAGAGAGAAAUUUCUGCUAGUACCGCAUAAGCACAUCCUGCCGCAUCGCGGAGGGAGAAAAGAGAAUCUCGAUGAGGUGGACCGGCGUCUGAUAGGCCAGCCAGGAGGGUAAGCGCCUACCAAAGCGACAGUCAGUACCCUGUCUGUGAGGCUGGACGCCCACAUUUGCACGGGGACGCGGCCCGGACUCUUGCGGGAGGCAGCAGUGGGUGAUACUGCACAAUCGGGUGAAUCCUGAUGCAGCGACGCCGCGUGAGUGAAGAAGUAUUUCGGUAUGUAAAGCUCGAUCAGCACGUAAUAUAAUGACGGUACCUAAAGAAGAAGCCCCGGCUAACUACGUG
rnacentral:rRNA from 1 species